rnacentral:piRNA from 1 species
UGCCUGCAGAGAAUGUUCCAGAAGUGCCUC